rnacentral:rRNA from 1 species
CAAAGUGACAGGUGGUGCAUGGUUGUCGUCAGCUCGUGUCGUGAGAUGUUGGGUUAAGUCCCGCAACGAGCGCAACCCUUAAGCUUAGUUGCCAUCAUUAAGUUGGGCACUCUAAGUUGACUGCCGGUGACAAACCGGAGGAAGGUGGGGAUGACGUCAAAUCAUCAUGCCCCUUAUGAUUUGGGCUACACACGUGCUACAAUGGACAAUACAAAGGGCAGCGAAACCGCGAGGUCAAGCAAAUCCCAUAAAGUUGUUCUCAGUUCGGAUUGUAGUCUGCAACUCGACUACAUGAAGCUGGAAUCGCUAGUAAUCGUAGAUCAGCAUGCUACGGUGAAUACGUUCCCGGGUCUUGUACACACCGCCCGUCACACCACGAGAGUUUGUAACACCCGAAGCCGGUGGAGUAACCUUUUAGGAGCUAGCCGUCGAAGGUGGGACAAAUGAUUGGGGUGAAGUCGUAACAAGGUAGCCGUAUCGGAAGGUGCGGCU